rnacentral:rRNA from 1 species
CUAACACAUGCAAGUCGAACGAACCCUUCGGGGUUAGUGGCGCACGGGUGCGUAACGCGUGGGAAUCUGCCCUUUGCUUCGGAAUAACAGUUAGAAAUGACUGCUGAUACCGGAUGAUGUCUUCGGACCAAAGAUUUAUCGGCAAGGGAUGAGCCCGCGUAGGAUUAGGUAGUUGGUGGGGUAAAGGCCCACCAAGCCGACGAUCCUUAGCUGGUCUGAGAGGAUGAUCAGCCACACUGGGACUGAGACACGGCCCAGACUCCUACGGGAGGCAGCAGUGGGGAAUAUUGGACAAUGGGCGCAAGCCUGAUCCAGCAAUGCCGCGUGAGUGUUGAAGGCCUUCGGGUCGUAAAGCUCUUUUACCAGGGAUGAUAAUGACAGUACCUGGAGAAUAAGCUCCGGCUAACUCCGUGCCAGCAGCCGCGGUAAUACGGAGGGAGCUAGCGUUGUUCGGAAUUACUGGGCGUAAAGCGCACGUAGGCGGCGACACAAGUCAGAGGUGAAAGCCCGGGGCUCAACCCCGGAACUGCCUUUGAAACUAGGUUGCUAGAAUCUUGGAGAGGUCAGUGGAAUUCCGAGUGUAGAGGUGAAAUUCGUAGAUAUUCGGAAGAACACCAGUGGCGAAGGCGACUGACCGGACAAGUAUUGACGCUGAGGUGCGAAAGCGUGGGGAGCAAAC